UACACUCCUACGGGAGGCAGCAGUGGGGAAUAUUGGACAAUGGGCGCAAGCCUGAUCCAGCCAUGCCGCGUGAGUGAUGAAGGCCCUAGGGUUGUAAAGCUCUUUCACCGGUGAUGAUAAUGACGGUAACCGGAGAAGAAGCCCCGGCUAACUUCGUGCCAGCAGCCGCGGUAAUACGAAGGGGGCUAGCGUUGUUCGGAUUUACUGGGCGUAAAGCGCACGUAGGCGGACUAUUAAGUCAGGGGUGAAAUCCCGGGGCUCAACCCCGGAACUGCCUUUGAUACUGGUAGUCUUGAGUUCGAGAGAGGUGAGUGGAAUUCCGAGUGUAGAGGUGAAAUUCGUAGAUAUUCGGAGGAACACCAGUGGCGAAGGCGGCUCACUGGCUCGAUACUGACGCUGAGGUGCGAAAGCGUGGGGAGCAAACAGGAUUAGAAACCCCGGUAGUCC
rnacentral:rRNA from 1 species